UGGGCGAAAGCCUGAUCCAGCAAUGCUGCGUGAGUGAUGAAGGCCUUAGGGUGUAAAGCUCU
rnacentral:rRNA from 1 species